AAAUUGUUAAGAAAAAAGAACACCUGUCUGAUGGCAUUAUAAUUUUCAUACAAUCAAGCUGCUACAAUUUUAUUUUACAUUCAUAUAUUACAUUUUAUUCAGGAAUUUGGCACAAAAACUGUUAUCAUAAGCAAACUAAUAAUCUAAUUUGCAUUAUUCAUAAGCAAACUAAUAGACUCGAACUCUUGACUCUAUGCAAUCACCUAGUAUAGUUAUUGGCCCUGAAGAACCAUUGUUGACACCAACAUCCUCUUUUUUCUUGUCUUGUGGCACCAAAAGGAAUUAUUACAGAAAUGUUGAAUUCCGACAACCAAACCCUAAUAAUUUAAUUUACAUUAUUCAUAGCAAACUAAUAGACUCGGACUCGGACUCUGACUCUAGGCAAUCACCUGGUAUAGUUAUCGGCUCUGAAGAACCAUUGUUGAUACAAACAUCCUCUUUUUUCUUGUCUUGUGGCACCAAAGAAGGUUUUGGAGGCAAUUUUAGGUUUUCAAAUUCUCCUUCCAGCAUCUCUAUAACUUCAUGCAUGGAUGGACGAUAAAUGGGUUCCAAUUGUAUACACCAAAGAGCUACUAAAGCCAUCUUCUUUGUCAUUGUACUUUCCUCCUCCGAAACAUUAUCUCCCAAUUCCAUGU
rnacentral:lncRNA from 1 species